GAUUCAAUUUUAAGAAGGUGUC
rnacentral:piRNA from 2 species